rnacentral:rRNA from 1 species
GACGAACGUUGGCGGCGUGCUUAAUACAUGCAAGUCAACUGAAGCAGUGGUAGCAAUAUCGCUGUGGAGGUGGCGCACGGGUGAGUAACACGUAGGUAAUCUGCCUUCAGGUCUGGCAUAACUCCGGGAAACCGGGGCUAAUAGCAGAUGAUGCAGCGGCUCGACAUCGAGACAGUUGUUAAAGCUAUGGCGCCUGAAGAUGAGCCUGCGUCUGAUUAGCUAGUUGGCGGGGUAACGGCCCACCAAGGCAACGAUCAGUAGCUGGUCUGAGAGGAUGAUCAGCCACACUGGAACUGAGACACGGUCCAGACUCCUACGGGAGGCAGCAGUAAGGAAUAUUGCUCAAUGGGAGAAAUCCUGAAGCAGCAACGCCGCGUGAGGGACGAAGGUCUUUUGCUUGUAAACCUCUGUAGUGAGAGAAAAAAAUCCCAAUCUUUGGGACAUGAUGGUAUCUCAAAAGUAAGCCCCGGCUAACUACGUG